AGCCCUACGGGAGGCAGCAGUGGGGAAUAUUGCACAAUGGGGGGAACCCUGAUGCAGCGACGCCGCGUGAGUGAAGAAGUAUUUCGGUAUGUAAAGCUUUAUCAGCAGGGAAGAAGAUGACGGUACCUGACUAAGAAGCCCCGGCUAACUACGUGCCAGCAGCCGCGGUAAUACGGAGGAUGCGAGCGUUAUCCGGAUUUAUUGGGUUUAAAGGGUGCGCAGGCGGAGGUGCAAGUCAGCAGUCAAAUUGCGGGGCUCAACCCCGUACUGCCGUUGAAACUGCAUACCUUGAGUGCGCGAGAAGG
rnacentral:rRNA from 1 species